rnacentral:lncRNA from 1 species
CUUUAAUUCAGUAGGGUUAGGGAAUAUUUGUGUGGCCUCCUUGCAUUGUUGUCUCCUUUCUAAUCGGUGUCCCUACAAGCUGUUUAUAGCAUAUGCUAUUUACAGCAUAUGAAUGCAUAUUAGGAAACACGGUCGUCAUACUGUCCUACUGUACACUCCUUUGAUCCACCGCAAUGAGGUUACCCAUACUAGGCUCCUCAGAAGCCAUCUGUCUCUGAGCCCAUGUUCUCUCAUUUCUUCGUCAAGAGUAUCUGACCCAAGUGGAUUUGGAGGAAGAAAGAGAAUGCAAGGAAAGCAAAGCGUGGGAGGAGCUUGAUAAGGGAAAAGAAAAGGCCACUACAGUGCUCCAACUGUUGAAAAAGCUGGACAGACCCGAUCAGUUCUCGUUAUACUACUGCGGAGGGCUCAAGCUUCUGUCACACGCCAUUACAGACUGAGCAUGCUAUUCCCGUCAGUGGCGUAUGCUUGAGCUUGCUGAGUGAUCCCGACGUGGGCAUCAUCACAAGAGCCACAGGUUUGCUGAGUACCGUGCUCCCACAGUCCCCCGCUGCUACUGAAG